UACGAAGGGGGCUAGCGUUGUUCGGAAUUACUGGGCGUAAAGCGCACGUAGGCGGACUGCUAAGUCAGGGGUGAAAUCCCGGGGCUCAACCUCGGAACUGCCUUUGAUACUGACAGUCUUGAGCCCGGAAGAGGUGGGUGGAAUUCCUAGUGUAGAGGUGAAAUUCGUAGAUAUUAGGAAGAACACCAGUGGCGAAGGCGGCCCACUGGUCCGGUGCUGACGCUGAGGUGCGAAAGCGUGGGGAGCAAAC
rnacentral:rRNA from 1 species